rnacentral:lncRNA from 1 species
CCCAACUUAAAACACUCAAUUUAGUAUAUAUUCUAUAUUUAAUAUUAUAUUUAUUUACGCUAUAUAUUAUAUUAAAAGCAUACACCUUUUAACAUUGAUAGGUAGUUACUUUUGCGAAGGGUUGUAACUUUUUUUAUAGAGUUGUGACUUUUUGAUGAGUUAUGACAUUUCUGAAAAGUUGUGAUUUUUCUGUAGGGUUGUGACUCAUCUGAAAAGACAGGAUAAAUAACUUUUCAUACUAUCCUUUGUUGUCUAUAAUUGAGGGGGUUUCUCAAACUACGAAUUUUGUAAGUUUUCUAUUCUUCUUCUUAAAACAAGGAAGGUUGUGAGAGUUGUUCAAUUAUGCUAUUAUAAUAUUUUUUGUUGGUAAAUUAGAUAGAUCAACAAAAAUUAAAGCAACAAGAAGAAUCUUGAAAUAACUCAACUUCAAACGAGAAGAGUAUCUUGAUAAUUAAUAUGUACUCAUUUUCAUUGCCAUAAAAUAUACUUUUGCAGCAACUUCUACUUGACAAUAAGUUCAACGAUUUUUCGUUGCACAAAUAAUAACUUGGUGUUCAGAAGUCUUCAACUGUUGGAGAAAAAAUAUUUGAUCAAAUACUUUUUUGAAGAGUCCAAAGUACAUUUAAUAAGUACUCUUUUGUUUCCAAUUUAUUUAUUGUACUUUUAUUUUUCUUCUGUUUAAUGUAGAAUGUUAUUUUUUCUUGGGGGUAGGCGCAUCUUUAAGACCACAAAGUUGAAAAACAUUUUUAUAUAUUCUACAUAUGAUCUUUAAAAGAAAAGUCUUCUUUAUUUUUUAAAAAUUUCAUAUCAAAAUAAAAUUAGACCAAUCUAUAUCUAUCUUUUUUUAUCUAUCUAUACUACCUUAAAAGAAUGAACUACUUAACUUAAAUGUUAAAUUAUUAUAAUACCCCAAACUCAAAACACCAAAUGUAGUAGAUCUUCUAUAUUUUAUAUUGUAUUAUAUUUAUUUAUGUGUAUUAUAUUAUAUUAUAUUAUAUUAACGACAAUCAUGUUUUCACAUUGAAGGGUUGUAACAUUUUCGAAGAAUUAUAAUUUUUUGAUGAAUUGUGACCUUUUUGAAGGGUUGUGACUUUUCUAAAGGGUUGCGACUUUUCCAAAGAGUUGUGACUUUUCUGAGGGGGGCAACUUUACCGAAGAGUUAUGACUUUUCCGAUGAGUUGUGACCUUUUUGAAGGGCUGUGACAUUUCUAAAGGGUUUUGACUUCUUUUUUAUAAGGCACAAUACGAAGUUUCUAAUAUACUACCCUUUGUUGGCUAUAAAAAGAGGGGCUUCCUCAAAUGUUUAAACUAUGAGAAAGGGAAGAGAAAGUAUAUUUAAGAGGUGUAACUAAGAGAUUUUAAGAGUGACUAAUUUUUUAUUUAAUAAUAUUCGCAUUAUCUUUUAAAAUAGUGUGGUGGUAAAUGGUUUGAUAUUCACGAGCAACGCAUGUGCGUCAAAACUAGUACCAUUAAAAGCAUGAACUCCCUAACUUAAAUGUUAAGUUACGAUAAUACCCCCAACAUAAAACACUCAUUUUAGUAUAUAUUCUGUAUUUUAUAUUAUAUUUAUUUAUUUAUUUAUUUAUUUGUUCUGUUCUAUAUUAUAUUAAAAGCAGACAAUUUUUCACAUUGAUGGGAGUGACUACUCCAAAGGGUUAUAAACUCCCUAACUUAAAUGUUAAGUUACGAUAAUACCCCCAACAUAAAACACUCAUUUUAGUAUAUAUUCUGUAUUUUAUAUUAUAUUUAUUUAUUUAUUUAUUUAUUUGUUCUGUUCUAUAUUAUAUUAAAAGCAGACAAUUUUUCACAUUGAUGGGAGUGACUGUUCCAAAGGGUUGUGACUUAUUCAAUGAGUUAUGAGUUCUAUUCUAUAUUAUAUUAAAAGCAAACAAUUUUUCACAUUGAUGGGAGUGACUGUUCCAAAGGGUUGUGACUUAUUCAAUGAGUUAUGAAAUUUCCAAAAAGUUGUGAUUUUCUAAAAGGUUUUGACUUAUUUUAUAAGGCAUGAUAAGCAUUUUUCCAUAUUACUCCCUCUGUCCCUAUUUAGUUGUCCACUUUAGAAAUGGCACACAGAUUAAGGCAACAAUGAUUAGCAUAGUGAAGUUACAAUUUUACCCUUAUAGUACAAUUUGCAAUUCCAAAAUAAAUUCACUUAAGAUAACUAAUCAAUGCUAGGAAGUUCAUAAGUUUAUUUACUUUAUUUAUGACAACUUUAUUUAAAUAAGGGUAUAAUAGGAAAAAAUUUGUUGUCUUUUCUUGAUUUGUCAAAAUGGAC